CCAGGGGGCUGUUUCACGAAGCAGGUUUUGCAAACUCUGGGUUAAAACUUGAACUCUGAGUUGAUUAACUCUGAGAUGUCAACCUCUGAGUUUUUGGUUUCAGAACAGGUGAUAACUAUUAGUUUAUAAAACUCUGAGUUCAAUUAACCCUGAUUGUCACGCGUGCACGAGCACAUAAAAAGGCUCUAUCAAUGGCAUCCAGAGAAAAUGAUUCACCAUGACAACACAGGGAAACAAAUCUCGCGCUUCCAAUUUCACCCCAGUGGAGCUUGAAUUAUUAAUGAUGGCGUAUGCUGAAUACGAGCAUGCCAUAUCAAAAAAAGGAAACACGAUUGUUGCUGCGAAAGAACGGGAACAAGCGUGGCAGAAAAUAGCUGACCGAGUGAAUGCGUAAGUAUUGAUAAGAACGAUGUUGAUUGAUGUAUAUUUAAGAAAUAUUACUAGUUUUUCUAUAUUCUCUCUAAUUUAAUUUCGUUAUCACAGGUGUAACCCAACCGGCAUAAAGCGCACUUGGCAGCAAAUAAAGAUGAAGUAUAAAAAUAUAGUACAAACAGGUAGGCACUGGACGAUUGGGAGGUUUUGCUCGUCUAUAAGACACAAAAGCUACAGUCUCAUCUGGCAGCAUGUAAUAUUGUUUAAAUCUUUUUACAAAGUUCUAAAUGUGGGCUUGGGUGCAUAUGGUCACAUUUUACCUACAUAUUAGCCAAUAGGAAAAAGGCAGAGGCCCGAAAAACUGGUGGGGGUCCACCACCAACACCUCUCACAGAGGCUGAAGAGAUGGCUCUCAGCCAAAACACUGGCCGGCCCAUGGCUGAUGGCAUCCUUGGAGGAAGUUCCUCCGAUACAGCCAUGCCCCAGGACAGAAGUUCAUACAGAAGAAUUACUGAUGGAGUAAUCUCUGUUGUGGAACUGCCAGACACCCAUGAAAUGAGCAAUGCAGAGAAUCUCCAGGGUGAACCGACUGCAUCCACAGCCACAGCUCAGCCUACCUCUAAGAUGCUGCAGUAUUUGCCUGCCAGUUAUUGCAAUAUUGGAUUAAGAAUCAUUCUUCUCAUGAAAUGAAAAUGUCGUUAGCUACAAGUGUCUAUUUUCUAAGUUAUAUUCAUAGUUGUACAAUUUUCACAGUGCAAUACUGCCAAGAUGUAACAUUGUUCUGUAUUCUAAUAGCUCCCUGUAAAGCAGUUGUACAAAAUAUACCUUGAGAAACAAAUUGACAAAUCGGAUCUGGAAAUGGAACACAUUAAACAAAAAAUGCAGAAAACCCUAAUAGACAUACAAAUAUUGGAACAUCACUUAAAGGAAAUAAAGAAGAGUGCAUAAAAUGAUUG